GAUGAAGAACGUAGCGAAAUGCGAUAAGUAAUGCGAAUUGCAGAAUUUCCGUGAGUCAUCGAAUCUUUGAACGCACAUUGCGCCCACUGGUAUUCCGGUGGGCAUGCCUGUUCGAGCGUCAUUAUCCUCCCUCAAACCCCGGGUUUGGUGUUGGACCCAAGUUGUGUGAACAACUGGUCUCAAAGACAAUGACGGCGUCCGUGGGACCCUCGGUGCAACGAGCUUUUAGGAGCACGCAUCGAGUUGCAAGGACCUUCCGGGCCGGUCUCCUUUACCAUUUUACAAGGUUGACCUCGGAUCAGGUAGGAAUACCCGCUGAACUUAAGCAUAUCAAUAAGCGGAGA
rnacentral:misc_RNA from 1 species